rnacentral:rRNA from 1 species
CAGUCGCCACGGUAAUACGGAGGGAGCUAGCGUUGUUCGGAAUCACUGGGCGUAAAGCGCACGUAGGCGGCUAUUCAAGUCAGGGGUGAAAUCCCAAGGCUCAACCUUGGAACUGCCUUUGAUACUGUUUGUCUUGAGUCCGGGAGAGGUGAGUGGAACUGCGAGUGUAGAGGUGAAAUUCGUAGAUAUUCGCAAGAACACCAGUGGCGAAGGCGGCUUACUGGCCCGGAACUGACGCUGAGGCGCGAAAGCGUGGGGAGCAAACAGGAUUAGAUACCCGUGUAGUCCCUGUCUCUUAUAC